AACUCAGUUACAUUAUGUUGUGCUUUGUGAAGCCAACUAAAAGGUACUUUGACAUAUGAGAAGUGGCCACAAUCCUUCUCACGGAAAUUACCUGGGGCUCCUGGUUCUUUAGGGGAUAUGAUUAUCAAAACAGAAAUUAACAAACAACAAUAAAAACAGUCUUACGUGAACCACUAUCCAAUGCCUUCAGCCAUUAGUGGUACCCAGAAUUAAAGAAGAAGCCUUCAUCCCACCACCUUCCGUUUUCCAACGGUGCUUCCUGUCUGUCCUCAGGCUCUGUGGGGGAAAGAGUCUUUCUAGAAGCACAAUGCACAGGGGAAUACCAAAGACUUUGACGAGAAGGCUCAGUUAAAAGCUUCUCUGAGCCCUUUGUCGGUCCUGCAUAGGGUAAGGGAUUCUAGAAAAGAAAGAAGAAAAGUGGGCUGAGAGACAAGCUGGUGUCACUCUCUCUUCUAGGAACCAGGGAGACAGCCGGCAGGAGUGCCCCGUGUGGCAGAGGAGAGGGCUCAUGGAAAGGUCCAAACGUCUCCAGUUUGAGAUCUCAGCAUCUCCAGCAUUGAGAGCGAUCUCUGGGAGGCAGAAGAUGACUAAGAGGAGCCCGAAGGUACCCAGAGUUCUCCCUCAACUCCAAGAGGUCCAGAGGCGCCAGAUCACCGGGGCCCAAAACCUCCACCUGCUCCUCUGAUGCUGGUCCUGACAGAGACCCAGCAUCCGGCCACAGCACGGCUGGAGGAGUGGUGUGUAGGUCCAGCUGGAGGAGUGGUGUGUAGGUCCGUGCUGGGAUGAACUGGACACCCCAGGCCUGGGAAGCAGAGGGCGCAAACUUAACAGUUAUGCCACCUGGCUACGCCCUGGUCUCAACUUCCCCCUUGUUCAGUUUCCUUCUUUUCACUUUGAGUACCCCACCCUCAGUGCAGUCACGUACACACAUUGAGGAACCUGCAUUGGGACAAAGCCUGCAGGAGGUUGAGCUGAGUCAUUGUCACCCUUUCUACCCCAAAAGCCCCACUUCUUGAGAGGUUUCCAUAGCACCCUGAAGGGCCAGGACUCGCAGACCCAGAUACUUCAAAGGCAACUGCCUGGACAACGGGCCAUCUGUCUCCCUGGCCGGGACCCACUGGGACCCCACUGGCCCCUCAGACCUGAGGGGAGAACACACCAGUGUUUGUACCUCCCUACAGUGCCGAGUACCUGACAGCUGCUCUGGCUCAUUACUGUCUUGGAGCCAGGAUCCCGCGGUGCGGGGGGCCAGGGUCUCACACCUCCUGCCUGAGUUCAGCGCGGCGGGUGCCCGGGGAUCUGGAAUCGGAGCCUGUGCGCGGAUGUGAGCUGCCUGCCUACCUCUGAGCAGAUUCCAGAACAGGGACCCUCGCUCUGGAGCAGAGGCGGGACCCGAGAGUGGAAGCCAACCUGGUUGGCAGUGAGCUUCCAGACCUACCUGGAGAGCACGUGCCUGGAAUCACUCCAUAGAUCUCUGGAGAACUGGAAGGAGAUGCCGCUUGGUGCAGGCACCAGGGCCAGCCUCCCUGGACCUCCUCUGAGGCUGGGGAUGUGUCCACAGCACUGUCCCUAAGGACGGGAGAGAGCAAGGCAUCGAUCAGGAAACCCUCCCCGCAGCUUAAGGGGUUCCGAUGGGGAGGUGAAAUUUUUCUGGAACUCUAAAUGCUUUACCUUGGCCCAGCGCUUUCUGGGACGUUUAGGGACCACGAGGCUUGGGGGAGAGAAGGUAGGAAAAAAGACUGAGACAUAAUGGAAGGGCAGUUUCCCUUUGAAUCUGACCUUGAAGACCAAGCUCUGCCUGGGUUUUUUUCUCUCAGACUUGGCCCUAAACCUCUUUCCAAGGCCUGCUGCUCCAUGUGGCCCUUCUUUACCUAUGAUGGACCAGAGCUCUCUUCCUCUCCCCGAUGCUUCUGUGACCUCCUCUUCUGUGUGUCUCACCUCCAGUCUAGAACCUGCUCUAAAAGGGCAUUUCCUCUGAGGCUCCUGUGAAGGAAGCCAGUGUUUGACUUUCUACUUUCCCCCCCAAUUCUCCUGUCUAUUCCCAAAGUGGUUACAUAUGCCUCUGUUUAGUGAAUCAUGGGAAGAAAAUCAAUGGAAAUUUUGCAAGUGUAACUGUUCAGAAACACGACUAAUUAUCUCAGCUUUUUUUGCUUUACCUAAAAAUAAGUUAACUUUGUUCAUCUUUCUAAAAAUUGCUUUGGUUAUUUUAAAUAUUUUUUAGGUCUUUUAUGUUUGCAUAUAAAUUUUUUAAAUCAGCUCAUCAAUUUCUACCAAAAGCCUCCUAGAAUUUUGUUUGGAAUUUUGUUGGAUCUAUGGAUCAAUUUGGGGAGAAUUGCCAUCUUAGCAACGUUGAGCCUCACUAUCUAGGAAAAGGGGGUGCAUUUAUUUGUGCUUCUUCCUCUCAGCAGCGUUUCUUGGUUUUCAGUGUCUUGGUUUUCUGAGGUCUGAGACAUUGUUUCUAAGAUUUAUUCCUAAGAAUUUGAUGAUUUCUGGCACUAGUGUACUUGGAAUGAUAUUUAAAUUGUAUUUCCAAUUAUUUGUUGCUUAUAUAUAACAUAUUUGGUGACAGUUUUGUAUAUUAAACUUAUAUCCUAUUAGUUUGUUUUGCUAAAAGAU